ACGGAAGGCAGCAGUGGGGAAUAUUGCACAAUGGGGGAAACCCUGAUGCAGCGACGCCGCGUGAAGGAAGAAGUAUCUCGGUAUGUAAACUUCUAUCAGCAGGGAAGAUAAUGACGGUACCUGACUAAGAAGCCCCGGCUAACUACGUGCCAGCAGCCGCGGUAAUACGUAGGGGGCAAGCGUUAUCCGGAUUUACUGGGUGUAAAGGGAGCGUAGACGGUGCUGCAAGUCUGAAGUGAAAGGCAUGGGCCCAACCUGUGGACUGCUUUGGAAACUGUGGUGCUUGAGUGCCGGAGGGGUAAGCGGAAUUCCUAGUGUAGCGGUGAAAUGCGUAGAUAUUAGGAGGAACACCAGUGGCGAAGGCGGCUUACUGGACGGUAACUGACGUUGAGGCUCGAAAGCGUGGGGAGCAAACAGGAUUAGAUACCCUGGUA
rnacentral:rRNA from 1 species